UACGAACGCUGGCGGCGUGCUUAACACAUGCAAGUCGAACGGUAAGGCUCCAGCUUGCUGGGGUACACGAGUGGCGAACGGGUGAGUAACACGUGGGUGACCUGCCCUGCACUUCGGGAUAAGCCUGGGAAACUGGGUCUAAUACCGGAUAGGACCAUGGUGUGGAUACUGUGGUGGAAAGUUUUUUCGGUGUGGGAUGGGCCCGCGGCCUAUCAGCUUGUUGGUGGGGUAAUGGCCUACCAAGGCGGCGACGGGUAGCCGGCCUGAGAGGGUGGACGGCCACAUUGGGACUGAGACACGGCCCAGACUCCUACGGGAGGCAGCAGUGGGGAAUAUUGCACAAUGGGCGGAAGCCUGAUGCAGCGACGCCGCGUGGGGGAUGACGGCCUUCGGGUUGUAAACUCCUUUCACCAUCGACGAAGGGUUUCUGACGGUAGAUGGAGAAGAAGCACCGGCUAACUACGUG
rnacentral:rRNA from 1 species